rnacentral:rRNA from 1 species
GACGAACGCUGGCGGCGUGCUUAACACAUGCAAGUCGAACGGAAAGGCCCUGCUUUUGUGGGGUGCUCGAGUGGCGAACGGGUGAGUAACACGUGAGUAACCUGCCCUUGACUUUGGGAUAACUUCAGGAAACUGGGGCUAAUACCGGAUAGGAGCUCCUGCUGCAUGGCGGGGGUCGGAAAGUUUCGGCGGUUGGGGAUGGACUCGCGGCUUACCAGCUUGUUGGUGGGGUAGUGGCUUACCAAGGCUUUGACGGGUAGCCGGCCUGAGAGGGGGACCGGCCACAUUGGGACUGAGAUACGGCCCAGACUCCUACGGUAGGCAGCAGUGGGGAAUAUUGCACAAUGGGCGGAAGCCUGAUGCAGCAACGCCGCGUGCGGGAUGACGGCCUUCGGGUUGUAAACCGCUUUCGCCUGUGACGAAGCGUGAGUGACAGUAAUGGGUAAAGAAGCACCGGCUAACUACGUG